rnacentral:rRNA from 1 species
UACGUAGGGUGCAAGCGUUAAUCGGAAUUACUGGGCGUAAAGCGUGCGCAGGCGGUUUUGUAAGUCUGUCGUGAAAUCCCCGGGCUCAACCUGGGAAUUGCGAUGGAGACUGCAAGGCUAGAAUCUGGCAGAGGGGGGUAGAAUUCCACGUGUAGCAGUGAAAUGCGUAGAGAUGUGGAGGAACACCGAUGGCGAAGGCAGCCCCUGGGUCAAGAUUGACGCUCAUGCACGAAGCGUGGGAGCA